rnacentral:rRNA from 1 species
GACGAACGCUUGCGGCGUGCUUAACACAUGCAAGUCGAACGGAAAGGCCCCUGCUUGCAGGGGUGCUCGAGUGGCAAACGGGUGAGUAACACGUGGGUGAUCUGCCUUGUACUCUGGGAUAAGCUUGGGAAACUGGGUCUAAUACCGGAUAGGAACUGCCUUUAGUGUGGUGGUUGGAAAGUUUUUUCGGUGCAAGAUGAGCUCGCGGCCUAUCAGCUUGUUGGUGGGGUAAUGGCCUACCAAGGCGUCGACGGGUAGCCGGCCUGAGAGGGUGUACGGCCACAUUGGGACUGAGAUACGGCCCAGACUCCUACGGGAGGCAGCAGUGGGGAAUAUUGCACAAUGGGCGGAAGCCUGAUGCAGCGACGCCGCGUGGGGGAUGACGGCCUUCGGGUUGUAAACUCCUUUCGACAGGGACGAAGCUUUUUGUGACGGUACCUGUAUAAGAAGCACCGGCUAACUACGUGCCAGCAGCCGCGGUAAUACGUAGGGUGCGAGCGUUGUCCGGAAUUACUGGGCGUAAAGAGCUCGUAGGUGGUUUGUCGCGUCGUCUGUGAAAUUCCGGAAGCUUAACUCCGGGCGUGCAGGCGAUACGGGCAUAACUUGAGUGCUGUAGGGGAGACUGGAAUUCCUGGUGUAGCGGUGAAAUGCGCAGAUAUCAGGAGGAACACCGAUGGCGAAGGCAGGUCUCUGGGCAGUUACUGACGCUGAGGAGCGAAAGCAUGGGUAGCGAACAGGAUUAGAUACCCUGGUAGUCCAUGCCGUAAACGGUGGGCGCUAGGUGUAGGGGGCUUCCACGUCUUCUGUGCCGUAGCUAACGCAUUAAGCGCCCCGCCUGGGGAGUACGGCCGCAAGGCUAAAACUCAAAGGAAUUGACGGGGGCCCGCACAAGCGGCGGAGCAUGUGGAUUAAUUCGAUGCAACGCGAAGAACCUUACCUGGGCUUGACAUACACCAGAUCGCUGCAGAGAUGUAGUUUCCCUUGUGGUUGGUGUACAGGUGGUGCAUGGUUGUCGUCAGCUCGUGUCGUGAGAUGUUGGGUUAAGUCCCGCAACGAGCGCAACCCUUGUCUUAUGUUGCCAACAUUUUAGUUGGGGACUCAUGAGAGACUGCCGGGGUUAACUCGGAGGAAGGUGGGGAUGACGUCAAAUCAUCAUGCCCCUUAUGUCCAGGGCUUCACACAUGCUACAAUGGUCGGUACAGCGCGCAGCGACACUGUGAGGUGGAGCGAAUCGCUGAAAGCCGGUCUUAGUUCGGAUUGGGGUCUGCAACUCGACCCCAUGAAGUCGGAGUCGCUAGUAAUCGUAGAUCAGCAAUGCUGCGGUGAAUACGUUCCCGGGCCU